UACGUAGGGUGCAAGUGUUGUCCGGAAUUAUUGGGCGUAAAGAGCUUGUAGGCGGUUUGUCGCGUCUGCUGUGAAAUUUCGGGGCUCAACCCCGAACUUGCAGUGGGUACGGGCAGACUAGAGUGUGGUAGGGGAGACUGGAAUUCCAGGUGUAGCGGUGAAAUGCGUAGAUAUCUGGAGGAACACCGGUGGCGAAGGCGGCAUCCUGGGACCAACACUGACGCUGAGGAGCGAAAAGCCAGGGGAGCAAAGCGGG
rnacentral:rRNA from 1 species